AUUUUUAGAGAACCCAAAGUGGAAGUUCAGGGCUCUAUUAUUCCAAACAAAAGAUUUCCCAUGUAACUUGAAUGCUUCCAUAGGUUGAACUGUGUAGGCUAUGUGCAGGAAAGGUAAGUGUUAAUACAUGACAGGUUUAGCAGAGACAACUGCUUUCUGAACCUCAACACGUCCACAGGAGUGUGAAACAAACACUUUGGUCCCCGGCGAUGAGACAAUGUCAAUCUUUAACCACACUUAUUUACAACCCUCUGUCUUUUGGACAUAAUCAAGAGAUAUCCCCCCAACAGGAGGAAUGUUGAUCACUGAUCACUUCAAGAAGAACACAGAGUUUUUAUCUUCUCUGCACUGACUUCAUCACUGAAAGAAUACAAUGACUGAUAAUGAUGUCUGAAGCUUUCAGUGAUGUACUGAUCUGUCUCAUCAUGAAAUUCGUGUUAAAAUGAGAUGUGUUCUGCUUUUCUGCGUGAUCCACAAGCCAAGGUCUCGCUCUGACUGAACAGAUCCUCUGGUCUUUAGUUUCUAUAGACCAACAACUUUCCAGACUGUUUCAUGAACUUUAAAGAGUUGAGAUUAUUAAAUAUGAAUCAUAACCUUACUGUAACAAAAAUAUUAGAAACGUUGUGCUUAGACUUAUCAUUGAUGUCUCAUUUUUAACAAUAAGUGGGUUAUAAUGUCAUUGAAAAAUCUGAAUGCGAGUAUAAAGAAUACAUCAAUCAUAAUGAAGUUCAU